UAGGGCUUGGGACAGGACCUCUUCUGAAAUGAGAGUCAUAUGACUUACAGUUGGACAAGUGAAACUGUACAGUGUGCAGCAACCUCAAUUCUUGCCUCCUCAGAAGAAAGAAUUAAACUGAGAGGCAUAAGGCAGAAGGAAUGACAGAGGCAAGUUUUAGAGCAGGCGUGAAAGUUUAAUAAAAAGUUCUAGAGAAGGAACAAAAGGAAGAAAAGUGCACUUGGAAGAUGGCCAGAGUCUUGGUCUCUUACCCAGGCUAGAGUGCAGUGGUGUGAUCUCAGCUGACUGCAACCUCCAUCUCGCAGACUCAAGUGAUCCUCCCACCUCAUCCUCCCAAAGCAUUGAAAUUACAGGAAUGAUCCAUGGUGCCUUGCCUUCCAUUGUCUUACUAGAUACUAACCAGAAACAAUUCUAGGGACCUAGCCACUUUUGCCACAUCAUCCUCUACAUGCCCUGAACAUUUGUAUAUUUAAGAUAAACAACAGUAUCCCUCUUGUGCUUUGACACUCUUCUUUUUCAGAAAGACGCAGUCCUUUUUAAGGGCUUGAUUGAUUAGG